CUUCAUUUCAACACUGGAGUUGCAUUAUCGUUCAUAAGAUGUUCACAAGUACAGAUGACUCAAUCCAACUGGCAACAUUUUCUGAUUUUGUUUUUUUUUAGGUUCCAUUUCACUGUGUGCAAGUGCUGCUGAAGGAUUAUUGUGUAGGUGGAAUUACUUAAAGGUAUUGCCAACAACAGUAGAUCACACACUGGGGAAGCAGAGGACUUCUUGCUCCACCAGAAAAUUUUCCAAGUUUCUACCUCCUUACUGUAAAUUGGGUAUUGAUGCCUUGUCUCACACACAGUCAGACACCCCCACAGAGAUUCUGAAGCAGUGUUUAUUGAUACACACUCUAAGGAGAAAGCUGCAUUGCUAUUUCACAUUCUGUCUGCUAAACUGGUACUGGGUUUUCCAGUCAUGCCCACACAUGUAUGCCUGUGUUCUGAACCCCACCAAUAAGGAGCUGACUUCCCCUACCUGUUGGUGAAGCAGAGGGAAGAGAGCUUAUGAGUGAUUUCUAGCUGAAAUGGCACCUCCCAUACAUUUCAGACAUAUGGGCAGGCUUGGAGCCCUUAUUCCUGGGACAAGGAUAAGUGAAAAGAACAUGCUUGCAAGUCCACAGACUGAACACUGGACCAGCCUCCUCCUUCUCCAAUCAAUGUCAUCACCACUUCCAGAAAAACAACUGGUCCUACAGUUUUUCCACUGUAAAAGAUUGUGUUCCCUGGAUCCACCCAGGAUCUAUGGCACCAGCCCUUCCCUUAUGAUUCCUUUUAUGUGUCAUGCAUAGAGAAGAUUUAAAUGUUCUCCAUGUGAUUCUGGGCACACCUCAGUCCCUAGGUCCUUCAGUGAAUCUUACUCCUGAAUCAAGCAGAGCAAUGGACUGCAUUAUAAAAUGCUGUGACAAGAGUAGCUGCAAGCUGAUACUCUCCCUUCCUUUCUGCCCUCAGGAGAAGGGCAAAAAUUGCCACCUUGAAGAAGAUAAUUCAUGCUAGGGAUGAAUGCCAUGGAGUACUUAAGGCUUUUGUACAUUUAAAUGUUUUGCAGAUCGCAAAAUUGCCCAUGAUGAUCUGUGAAGGGCUCUGUCACUUCAGUUUUGCUCUGGGGUGUACAGGAGUACUCUGUAAAACUCUGUAAAACUGUAACUGAAAUUAGAAAAAUAGAUACCUGAGUUCUCACCAGGUGAUAUAGGAGGGACCUCAAUAUUUUUUGGGGGGGCAGCUGUAAUGUCUUUUAUUUUCCCUUGGGUUGGCUGCACUAGAAAAGAAAUGUUGUUUUUAUGGUCAGAUCUUUCCUAUCAAAAAAGAUGAUGGUUUGUCAUCUAGCAGUGGUUUAUCUAUGAAGUUCACUUUUAUGGUGUCUAUUUUCACCUUCUUGGUACUCUAAUGACUUUAAAAUAUAUAUCAAC
rnacentral:lncRNA from 1 species